rfam:Erinaceus europaeus unplaced genomic scaffold scaffold00563, whole genome shotgun sequence
GGAUGUAAGGGUGAUCUGGCUGCGACAUCUGUCACCCCAUUGAUCACCAGGGUUGAUUCGGCUGAUCUGGCUGGCUAGGCAAGUGUCCCCUUCCUCCCUCACUGCUCCGUGUGCAUCCCUCCUGAAGCUGUGUGCUCUGUCAAAGAGGACGGUCUUCCCUGAAUAGAGACAGACCAGUCUUCAGUCGAGGGUAUACGAGUAGCUGCGCUCCCCUGCUAGAACCUUCAAUCAAGCUCUCAAGUGACAGGGAGAGGUAGAGUGAAGAACUAAAAGUAUGAGACCUUGGUCAUCCCUUGAACCACACAUGCUGGAUGAGGGU